UCAGCUGUAUUGUGCACGCUUCUAACAAUCUUUAUCCAAACACUUGUGCACCUUUGAAAGAAGGGGGGAAACCUUCCCCCUUCUUAUUUACAUACACCGCUUCUAUAAUGUCGAAUGUGAUCUUGUGCCUUUUCCUUUAAGGAGGGCCUGACUUAAUGUUAAUACAACUUUUAACAACGGAUCUCUUGGCUCUCGCAUCGAUGAAGAACGCAGCGAAAUGCGAUAAGUAAUGUGAAUUGCAGAAUUCAGUGAAUCAUCGAAUCUUUGAACGCACCUUGCGCUCCCCGGUAUUCCAGGGAGCACACCUGUUCGAGUGUCGUGAAAUUCUCAAGCUUAUAGAUUGUUUUUCAUCUUAGGCUUGGUUGUUGGGCUUUGCCGUGCCCCUCUUUAUUGAGGGAACGGCUGGCCUUAAAAGCAUUAGCUGACUCUCGUGUAGGAUUGGUUCUACUCAGCGUGAUAAUAAUUCUGACCGCCGAGGACAUCUUUCGGGAUGGCCAAUUCUUGCUUGGGUUGCUUCAAACUCUGGUUUACAGAUCUCUAUAUCUGUUCCACUAUCAAGUUUGACCUCGAAUCAGGUGGGACUACCCGCUGAACUUAAGCAUAUCAAUAAGCGGAGGAAAAGAAACUAACAAGGAUUCCCCUAGUAACGGCGAGUGAAGCGGGAAGAGCUCAAAUUUAAAAUCUGGCAGUC
rnacentral:rRNA from 1 species